CUUAUGUAAUACAUGUAUCACUAGCCACUUUAACUACGCCACUUGGUUUACAUACUCAUCUCAUAUGUAUAUACUGUACUCGAUAUCAUCUACUGUAUCUUGCCUAUGCUGCUCUGUACCAUCACUCAUUCAUAUAUCCUUAUGUACAUAUUCUUUAUCCCCUUACACUGUGUAUGAGACAGUUUUUUUGGAAUUGUUAGUUAGAUUACUUGUUGGUUAUUACUGCAUUGUCGGAACUAGAAGCACAAGCAUUUCGCUACACUCGCAUUAACAUCUGCUAACCAUGUGUAUGUGACAAAUAAAAUUUGAUUUGAUUUGAUUUGAACACAACAUAUAAUUAGUGAGCAUUUCUCCUUUGCCAAGAUAAUCCAUCCACCAGACAGGUGUGGCAUAUGGAGUAUUUCUGUCUGUAAUAAAGCAAUUUUUGGGGGGAAAAACUCAUUAUGGAUUGGCUGGGCAUGGCUCCCCAGUGGCUGGGCCUGGCUCCCCAGUGGGUGGGCCUAUGCCCCCCCAAGGCCCACCCAUGGCUUCACCCCUGCCCAGUUAAAUGAAAUCCAAAGAUUAGGGCCUUCAUUUCCAUUGACAAUAUUCCUUCCAUGAACUGUAACUCAGUAAAAUAUUUGAAAUGGUUGCGUUUAUAUGAUGAUGCGUUCACAUUUUAGUUCAGUGUACAGAGACAUAGAUAUAGGUAGAGUAGAUUCACAGGUUAUGAUGAAGACAGAGGGGGUAGAGUAGACUCACAGGUUAUGAUGAAGACAUAGAUAUAGGUAGAGUAGACUCACAGGUUAUGAUGAAGACAGAGGGGGUAGAGUAGACUCACAGGUUAUGAUGAAGACAGAGGGUGAGAGUAGACUCACAGGUUAUGAUGAAGACAGAGGGGGUAGAGUAGACUCACAGGUUAUGAUGAAGACAUAGAUAUAGGUAGAGUAGACUCACAGGUUAUGAUGAAGACAUAGAUAUAGGUAGAGUAGAUUCACAGGUUAUGAUGAAGACAGAGGGGGUAGAGUAGAUUCACAGGUUAUGAUGAAGACAGAGGGGGUAGAGUAGAUUCAUAGGUUAUGAUGAAGACAUAGGGGGUAGAGUAGAUUCACAGGUUAUGAUGAAGACGUGUAGAUUCACUGGUUAUGAUGAUGAAGAUGAGUAGAGCGUACAGAGACCGGUGGAAAGGUAUGGAUUGCAGUUUUGGGGUCACGAUUCGGUUUUGGUAUAGGGGGAAAAUGAACAGUUUGGCUUCGGCAGUUAACUUCUGUUAACGAAAUAAGAUACACGUUGGUACUUCUGAUUCCAUAUCCACCAUAACAGGCCUGAUGAGAGCACCAUCUUCUGAAAUGAAAACACCACGACUCAUCAACACUAGGAGAAAGUGACAUGUGCAAUCAAUAUGGAAACAUGGCUCAGACAUGGAAAAGACCUGUUUUCUUACGAAGACAAACAUAUGCGCACUUGUGUGACUCAAAGGGGGUGUGUCUAUGGCACUGUAGUUCUUUCCCAGUCCGGGGUCAUGUGAUGGGCUGUCACUUAACAGUCCGGGGUCAUGUGAUUGGCUGUCACUUAAUAGUCCGGGGUCAUGUGAUGGGCCGUCACUGUGAAGUAACUGUGUAACCCUGGAGAUCCAUCCAUCUGUAGGCAGCCCAACACAGGCUGGAUUGGCCAAUUCAUUGUCAACUUCAGCUUUAACUAGCUUAUAUAUGGGUAGCCUGUAUACUGAAAUGAGUGAGAGAGUGAAGAGCCUAAUGUGGCUAGAACACUUUCACAAAGUGCAGAAACGCUCUAACCCCG
ensembl:lncRNA